AACGAACGCUGGCGGCAUGCCUAACACAUGCAAGUCGAACGCCCUGGUUCGCCAGGGAGUGGCGCACGGGUGAGUAACGCGUGGGAACCUGCCCGGCAGUACGGGACAACCGCGGGAAACUGCGGCUGAUACCGUAUACGGCCUGAGGGCGAAAGAAUUUCGCUGUUGGAGGGGCCCGCGUCGGAUUAGGUAGUUGGUGGGGUAACGGCCUACCAAGCCUGCGAUCCGUAGCUGGUCUGAGAGGAUGAUCAGCCACACUGGGACUGAGACACGGCCCAGACUCCUACGGGAGGCAGCAGUGGGGAAUAUUGGACAAUGGGCGCAAGCCUGAUCCAGCAAUGCCGCGUGAGUGAUGAAGGCCUUAGGGUUGUAAAGCUCUUUCGCCCGCGACGAUGAUGACGGUAGCGGGAGAAGAAGCCCCGGCUAACUCCGUGCCAGCAGCCGCGGUAAUACGGAGGGGGCUAGCGUUGUUCGGAAUUACUGGGCGUAAAGGGCGCGCA
rnacentral:rRNA from 1 species